AACACAAGAAGUUAUCUUGAUAAAAUAUAAAACCUUUGUCCCUUAAUCUAGUUUUUAUAUUUUAAGAGCAUUUUUUUUUUUUUUUUUUUGUGGUGCUGGGGAUCAAACCCAGGGCCUUGUGCACGCAAGGCAAGAGCUCUACCACUGAGCCACAUCCCCUGCCCUAGAGCACUUGAACAUCUUAAGAAAACUUUACUGUUUUAGACAUGGAAAGCUUUAUCUUUUUAAUUACAGCCAACUUAAUAAUAUAUAAUAAUAAGUUUUAAUAACAUUUGUUGGAGUGAGGCACAAUAAGACCAUGGGGGAAACUUGAGCAGCCUCUUGUCUUCUGAGGAAGCUGAGGCAAACUGUCGGGCAGCUGCUGUGUGAGCCACUGCAGGGAGUUUUGCGCCGUAGUUCCUCGGGCCCACUGGCCCCUCACUUAGGGGAAAUUUUAAUAUUGUGUAAACAUAGAAUUAUAUAUUAGAAUGUUAACUUCAGUAUUAGCUUGUCUUAGUAAACUUAAGAAAACAAUCUUAAUCUUUAUAUAUAUUAAUAAUAGACGAAAACAUUUAACAGACCCAAAUACAUUAUCUUUUAAGAAGUCAAGAAUAUUGGAAUUUAGCAACAGAUGACUCAGAUGUUGUUAUAUUUAUAACCACUAACUUCAUUUAUAUUUAUUUAUUUACUCAUUUUAACAACUACCUCAGAUUACUCAUGAAAACCAAAACAGCAUAGUGAAGCCAUGUGUAUUAUAUUCUCCUUGACCAAGGAAAAACUCAUUGAAUACAGAAAACAAUGGGCAUUGAAUUUACAAAACCAAUUGUGUUAAGAAAAAAGUGUUAUUUUAGUUGGCUAACAACCUGGGCAAAACAGGUUACCCACCUUAAAGACAUCCUUGCCCUUCUCUUGGAACUAAUUUAAAUGAGCUCACUGUUAAGCUAGGUGGACAGAAGGCACAUGGGCUAUAUCAUGGAUAUCCACUCACCCCACAACCCAGCUUCAACAGGACUCUUGGAGGAUAACAUGAGAUUAAAAAAGCCUGAGCUCAUAAAGUGGAGGUUACUCCCCAGAGGGGACCUGUGGCCACUGCAGAAUUUGGCCCUGGGUGCUGACCAUGCACCUGCGCCAGCCCCACCCAGCCGCACAUUCCUGAGGAAAGGUCAUUCCGCAGCCACCUUCUGACCCCACUUUGCUGUUUCCUGAAUCUCCCGUAACAGGAAAAUUCCAUUUUGCGUGAAAAUAAACUUGGAGGACUUCUGCCAAGAAAGAAGUCAUGAUUCCCUUUCUCCGGCACCUUUUAUGCUCACUAGCAUCGGGCAGCAGAGAAAGCUCCCUGACGAGAUGCCCAUCUUAUCACGUGCACCUUCACGAUCAGUAACAGAGGUUGCUCAGAUGUUCAUCUCUUCUCAAGCUGACUCCAGAGAUGCUUGCUGGUCUUUGCUUUUGCCUCCCUGCAGGCAGCAGACCUGCCACAGGCAUUUGUUUUUCUGGGUCUGGAUCUCUUGCAAGAAGUUCAAAGCCUUUCUGAUUUUGCAGCAGAGUCUCCAAGGCACUUUCCUGGAGCCAAGAGAUGGUUUGUUUUGCAGAACACCUCUGCAGGAUAAUGUCCCCUUCUGUGUUCGGUCAGCUUAGGAGCCGCCGGUGCUGUCCCUGCUCAGCGGC